rnacentral:tRNA from 1 species
GGAGAGGUGUCCGAGAGGCCGAAGGAGCACGCUUGGAAAGCGUGUGUAUGGCAACGUACCGAGGGUUCGAAUCCCUCCCUCUCCGCCA